rnacentral:lncRNA from 1 species
GGGGACAUCUACAUUAAGGGUGAUGAUUCUUGUGUGUUAAAUAUGCUCAUUAUUUAUUAUUUAAUGCUCUACAUUAUUUAUGUCACAUUUGAUCAUGAGAUUGUGGGAGCUAUAUAAUCUAGUUGCUAUACUUGUGGAGUUCGACAUGGACUCACUCUUGCUAUUUCCCCCACCUCAGGAGGAGUUUAGACUUGUGAUGAACCAGUCAGUUGGAUCCUGUAGAGUAGAGUUAAUACCCGAAGUUGGAGUUACUCUCGUUGUUUG